GAGGGUACAGCUCAGUGGUAGAGUGUGUGCUUAGCAUGUAUGAGGUCCUGGGUUCAAUCCCCAGUACCUCCC
rnacentral:tRNA from 1 species